rnacentral:rRNA from 1 species
GACGAACGCUGGCGGCGUGCUUAACACAUGCAAGUCGAACGGAAAGGCCUGCUUUCCCUUGUGGAUUGCGGGUACUCGAGUGGCGAACGGGUGAGUAACACGUUAGUGAUCUGCCCCCAACUUGGGUAUAAGCCUGGGAAACUGGGUCUAAUUCCCGAUAGGACUGCAGGGUGGUGCCUGUGGUGGAAAACGAUUUUCUAGUGGUUGGGGAUGAGCUCGCGGCCUAUCAGCUUGUUGGUGGGGUAAUGGCCUACCAAGGCGGCGACGGGUAGCCGGCCUGUGAGGGUGGACGGCGGAAUUGAGACAGGGUUACGACUCAGACGCGUGCGAGAAGCAGCGGUGAGGAAUAUAGGGCAGUGGGCGGAAGCCUGCUGCAGCGAGGCCGCGUGGAAGGUGACGGGGUUGGAGUUGUAAUCUCCUUUCGACCACGAGGAGGCCACCUGGUUGGAAGGGUGGUGACGGUAGUGGUAGAAGAAGCACCGGCUAACUACGUG